CAGCAGCCGCGGUAAUACGUAGGGUGCGAGCGUUAAUCGGAAUUACUGGGCGUAAAGCGUGCGCAGGCGGUUUAGUAAGACAGGCGUGAAAUCCCCGGGCUCAACCUGGGAAUGGCGCUUGUGACUGCAAAGCUAGAGUGCGGCAGAGGGGGAUGGAAUUCCGCGUGUAGCAGUGAAAUGCGUAGAUAUGCGGAGGAACACCGAUGGCGAAGGCAAUCCCCUGGGCCUGCACUGACGCUCAUGCACGAAAGCGUGGGGAGCAAACAGGAUUAGAGACCCCUGUAGUCCCUGUCUCUUAUAC
rnacentral:rRNA from 1 species